UUGUUAAAAAUAAAUCAUGUUAAUUGACAUUAUUUGAUGAGCAACAGCAUUAAUGUGAGUACUGGUAGUUUUUCAUUCAGGACAUGUUGUACAAUCAUAGCAUACAUGUAAUUUAUGUUCAUAUUCAUUUAAUUCAUUUUCAUUAGGCCACAAUGAAUUCAUUUUUUUUUUGUUUCAUCUAUAAUUUUCCAUUAUUUCCAAGCAGUCAAAAAGAGUAGGUUAAAAAAAAGAGUGUUUCUUUCAACCUUGAAAGAAUAAAAAAAUCAGUUCAUUGUGGGCCUACUUCAUUUAAUUCAUGAUCAUGUUCAUUUUAAAAAUCAUUGACUACAAUACAACAAAAAACUCAGAGGUUUGGUUAUUCUUAACUUGUGUGUUGUUUUAAUGAGGAAACUGGCUUUCCUAUGUCAUGUGUUUUGUUAUGUCAGUGUUUAUAUACUUGGAUUGUUAAAGAAGUACAUGUACAGUGCUUUUAUAUUGUUGAUAAAAUAUUCAUGGCUGGCAAAAGAUCAAAGAAAUUUUGAAAAUAUCUGAAAAAUUAUCAAUUUGUUGAAAAUGGAACAGAAGGUUACCUAUCCACAUGGAUUUGAUGACUAUUUAUAGCUCAUCGAACGCUAAUGAAGAACAUUAUUAGUUACAUAGUGUGCUAGUGACCUAAUACGGUGUAUAUGGGGUGAGUAAAUUCCAUAUGGGGUAAGAGCGAAGCUCGAAUCCCCAUAUGGAAUUUACUGACCCCAUAUAUACCGUAUUACGUCACUAGCACACUAUGUAACAAAUUUAUCUUACCGAC
rnacentral:lncRNA from 1 species